UUACAAGGGCUGGAUAGGAAU
rnacentral:miRNA from 1 species